rnacentral:lncRNA from 1 species
UUCUACCAAUCCUCCAUGUGCCUCAGGCUCGUCUCUCAUACAGGUCCCCUGGGGCAGGAUCACGGACUCUCAGGACCUCCUCAGCUUCCCUCCUUCCCACAGGCAUAUCCGCUGGCCUUCUGGGCACCAACAACAAUGAAGCAGGCAAUGACCUGAUGUUGCUGGAUGGCUCUGUGGCCACAGCCUGGAGGAGCUCAGCCUGGCCUGGCAGGUGGAUGGUGACUGUAGGGCCACUGAGAAGACUCAGCAGUCCUGCCCAGGACAGAGCCCUGCCUGCCCGGCCUUCUUCCAGGACCCCUGCUCCAGCUUGGGGAACUGCUUCUGGGUGCUCCUUGACAAGGGCAAGAUUCUUGGCUGGGACAGAAUAACCAGCAUGGAAUGCCUGGAAACUCAGAACCACAUUUGCUUCAAGUGCAGGGAAGAAGAGCUGUUUGCCAUUGCACUCAAAAUACUUCUAAGGACAUGAAACUCUCCCACUGGUCUGGGUAAUUCUCCCCCUUCCUCCACACUUCUACUGUAAACCAAGAGACAGUGUGGCCAGUGAGUCCCAGCCCCGCAGAGAGAGAUCUACCUGGCUCCUGUUCAUGCCCAAGGUGUUUAUUCACUUAUUCAACAGCCAUGUGGAAAGCCACCACUUUGGAACUCCAUGCAGAGGGGGACACGAAGCCAGGUUCUCAGCUGCCUGGUCCUGGCUUUCCCUGCCUGAUCCAGGGGUCUCCUGAGGCAGGAGGUUCUUUGAGGGGAACUGAUAGCUCUUCAGAAGCCCAGGUAGAUAGCUGCUGUCUUUAGUGUAGACACACUGGGACUGAAUGCUUAGGAGGUUCUCCGUUUUGGUAGGGGCACUUGUGAACUCGGGCCCCCAGGCUACAGCAUUCAAAGGUUUUUUUUUUUUUUACUUUCUUUUGGAACAUAACCUUUUCCUUUGAGUUUUCAACAGAAAAAUAAAGCUAGCAGAAUCCAAG